GACGAACCGUCCGAACGUUGUUCGGAAUCACUGGGCGUAAAGGGCGUGUAGGCGGUCAGGUAAGUGGAAUGUGAAAUCCCUCGGCUCACCCGAGGACCUGCAUCCCAAACUGCCUGGCUUGAGUAUGGGAGAGGAUGAGGGAAUUCCUGGUGUAGCGGUGAAAUGCGUAGAUAUCAGGAGGAACACCGGUGGCGAAGGCGGGUCUCUGGGCAAUAACUGACGCUGAGGAGCGAAAGCGUGGGGAGCGAACAGG
rnacentral:rRNA from 1 species